AGAACGAACGCUGGCGGCAUGCCUAAUACUUGCAAGUCGAACGAACUCUUCGGAGUUAGUGGCGCACGGGUGCGUAACGCGUGGGAAUCUGCCCCUUGGUUCGGAAUAACAGUUGGAAACGACUGCUAAUACCGGAUGAUGACGAAAGUCCAAAGAUUUAUCGCCAAGGGAUGAGCCCGCGUAGGAUUAGCUAGUUGGUGAGGUAAAGGCUCACCAAGGCAACGAUCCUUAGCUGGUCUGAGAGGAUGAUCAGCCACACUGGGACUGAGACACGGCCCAGACUCCUACGGGAGGCAGCAGUAGGGAAUA
rnacentral:rRNA from 1 species